rnacentral:rRNA from 1 species
UACGUAGGGUGCAAGCGUUGUCCGGAAUUAUUGGGCGUAAAGGGCGCGUAGGCGGCCGGCCAAGUCGGGUGUGAAAUCCCUCGGCUCAACCGAGGAACUGCACUCGAUACUGGCUGGCUUGAGUCCGGGAGGGGAUGGUGGAAUUCCCAGUGUAGCGGUGAAAUGCGUAGAUAUUGGGAAGAACACCGGUGGCGAAGGCGACCAUCUGGACCGGAACUGACGCUGAGGCGCGAAAGCGUGGGGAGCAAACAGG